rnacentral:tRNA from 1 species
GGCCCGGUGGCGGAAUGGAAGCGUCUACGCGGGGGCAGUGCAAUGCUCUUUAUCCUGGUUCAAAUCCAGGCCGGGCCUCCA